UCAAGUUCAAACCAGCCAUUUCAAAUAUUUUUAACAGAUGUAGCCCUGGUUCAUCUUCAAAGGGACUAAAGAAUGGCUCAUUCAGUCCAGCUCUUUCUAAUAUCUUCAAGCCUACAAAUCAGCACUACAGAAAUCCACCAUCUCAUCCACUGAUUGCUUUGCCAAGCUUUUAUCCUGCACCCAAAUCUUCAGAGAGUUCUGAUGUCCAGACUGUGUCUAAACCUACCUUUUUAAAGACUUCACCACAAGAUGAUUCAGGUGCUUCUUCUGCCUCGCUGUUAGACUCAACCAAGGAUAUACCGUCCUCCAACGUACUGCAGAAGAGCACAGGUUUGAUUUAUCAUUUCUUCUUAAAGUUAUAAAAAGAGACUUCAUUAAUACACAUAUAAAAGUUCUGUAUGGAAGCCUGAGGAUGGGUUCGCAGGUAAAGGUGCUUGAGACAAACUGAUAACCUAAGUUGGGUCCCUGGAACCCACAGAGUCAAACUCGAGAAUGAACUCCAUAUCAUGCAGAGAGAUGACAUUAAAUAAACAAACUUAAAAGAUUUUAAAAGCCAGCAAGGUGGCUCAAUGAGGAAAGAAAGUUCCUUGUCACUAAGUCUGGUGAUCUGAGUAUGGUCUUUGAAACCACAUAGUAGAAAGUGAGAACUGACUCUGGCAGGCUGUCCUCUAACCUCCACAGGUAUAACACAGUGUGCAUGGACCCACAUACAUACUUACACAUAGUUUAAAGUUUUUCUUCUGAAAAAUGGUAUAUUUUGCAUAUAUUAUAUGGUGGA